rnacentral:rRNA from 1 species
UACGGAGGAUGCGAGCGUUAUCCGGAUUUAUUGGGUUUAAAGGGUGCGUAGGCGGGCUUUUAAGUCAGCGGUAAAAAUUCGGGGCUCAACCCCGUCCGGCCGUUGAAACUGGGGGUCUUGAGUGGGCGAGAAGGAGGCGGAAUGCGUGGUGUAGCGGUGAAAUGCAUAGAUAUCACGCAGAACCCCGAUUGCGAAGGCAGCCUUCCGGCGCCCUACUGACGCUGAGGCACGAAAGUGCGGGGAUCGAACAGG